GAAAAAGUCGCUACCUGAGUUUUGGCGAGAUCAGUAUGUGCUUUCUGCAGCCUCCAGAUACAUCCAAAAUUCAUAAUUGUAUACCUGAUGAACACUAUGUCCAAACUCUGCUUGCUGUAAGUAGUUUUCUGUGAUCUAAACCCGUCUUGGCAACCUAAUUUUUUUGUUUAAAUAUCACUGAUUUCACUUUCAAACAGUGAUAUUCUGUCAAAGAAAAUUCCUUGCAUGGAUCAUUGGUAGCAUGUAUCUC